UACGUAGGGGGCAAGCGUUGUCCGGAUUUAUUGGGCGGAAAGAGCUCGUAGGCGGCUCGUCGCGUCAGCUGUGAAAACCCGCGGCUUAACCGUGGGCUUGCAGUUGAUACGGGCGGGCUAGAGUUCGGUAGGGGAGACUGGAAUUCCUGGUGUAGCGGUGAAAUGCGCAGAUAUCAGGAGGAACACCGGUGGCGAAGGCGGGUCUCUGGGCCGAUACUGACGCUGAGGAGCGAAAGCGUGGGGAGCGAACAGG
rnacentral:rRNA from 1 species